CCCUGUUCAAAAACAUACCCUGCUAGGUAUAAUACUGAGGUCAGUUUCCCUGUUCAAAAACAUACCCUGCUAGGUAUAAUACUGAGGUCAGUUUCCCUGUUCAAAAACAUACCCUGCUAGGUAUAAUACUGAGGUCAGUUUCCCUGUUCAAAAACAUACCCUGCUAGGUAUAAUACUGAGGUCAGUUUCCCUGUUCAAAAACAUACCCUGCUAGGUAUAAUACUGAGGUCAGUUUCCCUGUUCAAAAACAUACCCUGCUAGGUAUAAUACUGAGGUCAGUUUCCCUGUUCAAAAACAUACCCUGCUAGGUAUAAUACUGAGGUCAGUUUCCCUGUUCAAAAACAUACCCUGCUAGGUAUAAUACUGAGGUCAGUUUCCCUGUUCAAAAACAUACCCUGCUAGGUAUAAUACUGAGGUCAGUUUCCCUGUUCAAAAACAUACCCUGCUAGGUAUAAUACUGAGGUCAGUUUCCCUGUUCAAAAACAUACCCUGCUAGGUAUAAUACUGAGGUCAGUUUCCCUGUUCAAAAACAUACCCUGCUAGGUAUAAUACUGAGGUCAGUUUCCCUGUUCAAAAACAUACCCUGCUAGGUAUAAUACUGAGGUCAGUUUCCCUGUUCAAAAACAUACCCUGCUAGGUAUAAUACUGAGGUCAGUUUCCCUGUUCAAAAACAUACCCUGCUAGGUAUAAUACUGAGGUCAGUUUCCCUGUUCAAAAACAUACCCUGCUAGGUAUAAUACUGAGGUCAGUUUCCCUGUUCAAAAACAUACCCUGCUA